CUCUGAAACCAAUAAAAACAUUUAAAAACAAAAGAUGGCCAAGCAAACCCAGAAGAAGAAAAAAAAGUAGGAGGAACUCUGUUAAAAUAGUGACAGUUCCUGUUUCUGGUUGAAAUUUUAGAAAGACUUUAUGCUUCAAACUUGUACUGAACAGAUUUUUCACAAUUAGAAUAUAUUUUCUAAUACAAAAUGUUUUUCUCUUUUUUAGUUGUGGAAAUAGUACAGAGGGGUCCUGUACCCUUGGCCCAGUUUCCCCCAAUGGGAACAUUGGCACAACUAAUGCAACAUCAAAGCAGGAAGUGGAUUUUGGUACAACCACGGAUCUUAUUCAGGAGCUGUGUCCUUGGAUUGCACUGCGGGGACUUCCUGUAGAAGGUCUUUAAUUGCCAAACACAGAGGCAGAGCCUUCUCCUUCACAAGAUGGCACGGGGCUGCCAGGGAAUUCGUGUUCCCAGGCCAGUGGGUGACUGUGGCCCUGCCAUUCGGGAUUGAGGCUCCUUCCAGUUCAUUUCUCUACGAUGAAGGCAGCAGUUCUCAAAAUGGUUCCUACCCCAGGAGGAACUUGGAGCACAAAGCCCAGAGGUGCAGAAACUGAUCUGUAACCAUGAGGACAGAAAGCAUAUGCUGACAGUGGUGGGGUAGAAAGAUGAGCGAGUCUGCAUCCUAGAUGACCCGGUGACGCCGGCACCCCAUCCUGAGCUGGGACCUUUGGACCUCUCAGCACGUCUCUGUCUCCAUCCGUUGGGCUGUCUAUUCUUGCAGCUCUGUGUGGCCUUCCACAAUUGAUGAGGAACCCCUGGUAAUUAAACCCCAAGAUUGUUGGCUCCUUUGAUUCCAACAGCCCCUCUGUUCAAACUGCAGGAUCAGAUGAGCUACUCUCAAGGCUACAUUCUUGCAUCCUCCUCCUCCCUGCUGUAUUCACAACUCAGGGGUAAGUCCCACCAAGGAGUCUCUAAUUAGUAGAGUUUCCCUAUCCCUCCUUUCAAACAAGCCUCUUUUGAACUCUUCAUAACUUUUUUUCUAAGCAUGUUUUACAUUCUUGGGGAAGAUACUGAUAAGAUACCUCCCUAGAACAUCUGCCAGACUGCCUCCUGGAAAGCAAACUGUAACAUUUCAAGACAAUCCCCGGCAUUUGCUCAACUCAAACACUUAUGAUACCACUUUUGUCUCAGGAGCUCAGCCAUCACCAGAGAACCACAGGCACCGUUGCACACCCCACCUACCACGGCUCUUUAUUCAGUCCCACUCAGACUCACACCUCCAACUUCAGGACUCUGAUGAUUUAUUUUACAGAUCAUUGACGGUCCAGACCAAGGGCUAUGGGGAGCCCAGACGUUGGGUUGUAGAAACUUCUGGCUCCAUGCAGAGAGGGACCCUACCCCUGCUCUGAGUCAUGCUCUGUGUCCUCAUAGGCUGAGUGGCGCCUUCACAGUGCUGGUGGUGGUGGGAGGCAUGGGGCCUGUGGGGAAGGAGCCUGUGGGUGAACCCAACAGGGGCCCGGGGAAAGGCAUCAGGUGGCUGACAGGCCCUGACAGCACCACGGGGCCCGGGCCUCGGUAGAGAUGGGCAGUACCAGGUGGGCCCAAUCUCAAGCCUGAGGCCACUUCCCCACAAUUCCCACCAUCGCUGCCCCCAGCCACCACCAUGAAGCCACCAGCCGGAGCCUCAGCUGGUCCUGUGCCUCCCAGGCUCCACACUGGCUUCUUUUCUUUCUGUGAUGGCCUGGGUUUUCUAGACUUUAUACCACCCUUCUGCACGGUCCGUGGUUGGUUCACCUGAUGAAAGAGAGGCCAUGAGUGUUCCCCAACCUCAGACUUUUGCCUCUGUGUCUCCAGCAGGGACACCCUUUCCACCCCACUCCUUAAGAGUCGGGAACUGGGUCAAGGACUAGGGGAGCAGGCCCCAGCUGUGGCACAGAUAAUGCCCUAAGGAGUCAUGAGCUUGUGAGGCCCUAAGCAAUGGAAAGGCUGAGGGAGCCUCUAGCCAUAGGACUAGCUGAUGGCUGCAGGGGAGGAGGAAGGAAAUGAGAAAUGGAGGAGAGAGAAGGGAGCAGGAGGGAAAAGACAGGCAGGGAGGAGAUGAAGGUGCAGAGAAGA